AGCAGCCGCGGUAAUUCCAGCUCCAAUAGCGUAUAUUAAAGUUGCUGCAGUUAAAAAGCUCGUAGUUGAAUUUCGGGACUAAUAUGUCGGUCGUGCCUCGGUACGUACUGGUUUAUUGGUUUCUCCUUUCUGAAGAACCAUGAUGUCAUUUAUUUGGUGUCGUGGGGAAUCAGGACUGUUACUUUGAAAAAAUUAGAGUGUUUAAAGCAGGCUCACGCUUGAAUACAUUAGCAUGGAAUAAUGAAAUAGGACGUUUGAUUCUAUUUUGUUGGUUUCUAGGAUCGACGUAAUGAUUAAUAGGGAUAGUUGGGGGCAUUAGUAUUCAAUUGUCAGAGGUGAAAUUCUUGGAUUUAUUGAAGACUAACUACUGCGAAAGCAUUUGCCAAGGAUGUUUUCAUUAAUCAAGAACGAAAGUUAGGGGAUCGAAGACGAUCAGAUACCGUCGUAGUCUUAACCAUAAACUAUGCCGACUAGGGAUCGGAUGAUGUUAAUUUUUAAUGACUCAUUCGG
rnacentral:rRNA from 1 species